rnacentral:rRNA from 1 species
UAGGGAAUCUUCCGCAAUGGGCGAAAGCUUGACGGAGCAACGCCGCGUGAGUGAUGAAGGUCUUCGGAUCGUAAAACUCUGUUAUUAGGGAAGAACAAAUGUGUAAGUAACUAUGCACGUCUUGACGGUACCUAAUCAGAAAGCCACGGCUAACUACGUGCCAGCAGCCGCGGUAAUACGUAGGUGGCAAGCGUUAUCCGGAAUUAUUGGGCGUAAAGCGCGCGUAGGCGGUUUUUUAAGUCUGAUGUGAAAGCCCACGGCUCAACCGUGGAGGGUCAUUGGAAACUGGAAAACUUGAGUGCAGAAGAGGAAAGUGGAAUUCCAUGUGUAGCGGUGAAAUGCGCAGAGAUAUGGAGGAACACCAGUGGAGAAGGCGACUGUCUGGUCUGUAACUGACGCUGAUGUGCGAAAGCGUGGGGAUCAAACAGG